GCCGUCCCACGCCGCCUCUAUCUAUCUCCACGUGAAAUAAAAAAAAAACAAAGCUCCCGAAAAUAUUCUCUCUCCCCCACCCCCGAAACCCUAGCGCGACCUCGCCGCCGGCAAUGGCCGCAUGACCGAUGCGCCUCCGCCGAGGAGCCGCCCGCACCCACCCAGCAGCAGCGUCGCCGUGCCCGCCGCCGCGGCGGCAGUGAUCGCAGCCGCCCUCGCGUCCUCCUUCCUCGCCCUGCUGCAGCCGCCCCGGCGCGCCCCGGUCGCCGCGGGAUCCAGGGUCGGCAUGUCGAAGGCGAGGGUCUACGCCGACGUCAACGUGCUGCGCCCCAAGGAGUACUGGGACUACGAGGCGCUCACCGUUCAAUGGGGUGAGCAGGAUGACUAUGAAGUUGUCAGGAAAGUUGGAAGAGGUAAAUAUAGUGAAGUCUUUGAAGGCAUCAAUGUUAACAACAAUGAGAAAUGCAUCAUCAAGAUACUCAAGCCUGUGAAGAAAAAGAAGAUCAAAAGGGAGAUUAAAAUACUUCAGAAUCUUUGUGGAGGUCCAAACAUUGUGUAGCUUCUUGAUAUUGUCAGAGAUCAACAUUCUAAGACUCCUAGCUUGAUCUUUGAAUAUGUCAACAAUACAGACUUCAAAGUGCUGUACCCCACGUUGACAGAUUAUGAUAUCCGCUACUACAUAUAUGAGCUACUCAAGGCAUUAGACUACUGCCAUUCACAAGGCAUUAUGCAUCGAGAUGUCAAGCCCCACAAUGUUAUGAUAGAUCAUGAGCUCCGAAAACUUCGAUUGAUAGACUGGGGCCUGGCUGAGUUCUAUCAUCCAGGGAAGGAAUAUAAUGUUCGUGUUGCUUCAAGGUAUUUCAAGGGGCCUGAGCUUCUUGUUGAUUUGCAAGAUUAUGAUUAUUCUUUGGACAUGUGGAGCCUUGGUUGCAUGUUUGCUGGGAUGAUAUUCCGCAAGGAGCCAUUCUUCUAUGGUCAUGAUAACCAUGAUCAACUUGUCAAGAUCGCAAAGGUACUUGGAACAGAAGCACUAAAUGCUUAUUUGAACAAGUACCAUAUUGAGCUUGAUCCUCAGCUUGAAGCUCUUGUUGGGAGGCAUAGUAGAAAACCAUGGUCGAAAUUCAUUAAUGCUGAUAACCAACAUCUAGUAUCUCCUGAGGCUGUAGAUUUUCUUGAUAAGCUUCUACGUUAUGAUCACCAAGAUAGGCUCACUGCACGUGAAGCUAUGGCACAUCCGUACUUCCUCCAAGUGAGAGCUGCAGAAAAUAGCAGAGCACGACCACAAUGAUCUUGUGUACCUGCUAAAAUGAUGAUCCAGCUGAUGAUCCACGACGGUACUACUUUGAGUUUGUGUGAACGAUCGUGGAAUGUGCUUGUAGCCUUGCAUUUGUAAACUGUAAUUCACUCCGUUGGUUGCGUUUGAUGAAUGCCGUGACAUGCACAUAAUUAUUUAUUUCUGUAAUGUUUUACCAUAACAACGAUUAAGAUGCAACAGGUACCUGUAUGACAGCAUGAGCCUUGUUAAGCUUGUUUCGAAAUGAGGCCGAA